rnacentral:lncRNA from 1 species
GAUAUUAGUAGAAAAUUUAAAUUACAAGAUAUCCAGUCCUAUCAAAAUCUAUGUGAAAAGAUUGGAUUAAUAAUCUUACAGAUGUUGGACUAAGAUUUAGAUUAAUUUAUUAUUCUUGACAUCCAAAUAUAACUCUAGAUUAGUCUAAUUUUUUUAUCCUUCAAAUUAGUCUAAUCCCACCUUUUAUUCAACAUACAAACAUAGUCUUAUGGUUUAAAAUAAAAUUUCUUUUUGAAAUUUAUUUAACUAAAUUUUUUAUGGAAUAAAUUUGGGAGAAUGUUUGUUCUGACUUAUGAAUAGUAAUCAUACCAAAGUUAUAUAAUGUGAUUAGGAUUAAUACUUAAGUGUCCGGAUAAAAAAGAAUGAAAGAUGACAUUUUCCAUAAGUUAAACUCAUAGAUGUGUCCGAAUCUUUAUCAUUGUUUUUUUUCCCACUUUAAAAACCAUUUAGCCACUUUAGGAAAGAAAGCAUCAUUUUAUCUCGACUUUUUGUUUUUGUUUUCUUUUUCACAUUUGUUUGCCGAUUCUUGGACUUUAUAAUCACUUUUCAAGCUCUGGAUUAACCAUGAUUUUGUCACUUUAGUAUUGAUUACAUUGUUUGUUUAUCCCUUGUGCCCAAAUGAUGCUUAAGACUUGGCACGUCUUCAUUAUUAUAAAGAAAGCAUUUUCUUGUUGCUAGAAUUAUCUUUCCUAUGAGCUGGCUGCCCAUUUUUUAUUGGCUUCAUAAGUUUUUUCUCCACUAAACAAUGAAUUAUGAAUCAAUUAUGGCUUAAACCCAGCACAAAACCAGCAUUACUGCCUGAAUUGAGCAUCAUUUUGAGAAAUUAGGUACGCACUAGCCUUGUCUCCCACAAACAUAUUCCAUUUCGUCUCUGAAGAAUGGCUACAGAGAAAUACAACGUAAUGCAUAUUUCUUCUCACCAAUCACGUAAAAAGCAUCGACUCUGAAUUCUUCAUCUUGCAGUCAAAUCAAUUGGUAGCAGAAGGGACGCUUCAUUUCUUGACAUAUUAGGAAUAAAUUUCUACUAAUUUUGCGCCACUGUACUGAGGCUGAGAAAAAUGCCACUUCAACUGCUAUUUAUUGUACGGGCCUACCGGCUUUAAUUACACUGAGUUUUUUUUGGAUUAAACAUUCCCAUUAAACUUUAGAUUAGAUUUUAUUUUUAUUUUAAUACAAGUUAUUGCUUAUCAAUUUGAUUCUGGAAUAAAUGGUGGGAAUACAAGACUAGCGAGAGAUGUCAAAUGGAAUUUUCUUGAGAAUGCGAAUAAGCCGCCUGCCAAGCUGGAUAUUUCGAGAAUGUUUAUAUAUCGAUAGGGAUGGCAAAAAUCUCCACGGGGAUGGGUACCCUCGGGGAUUUUCCCCAUUCGGGGAGGGUACGGGGAUAAUUUUAUACUCAAUUUUUUUUUCGGGGAGGGGACGGGGAAAAUUUUUUACCCAACUUUUUAUUCGGGGAGGGGACGGGGAUGAGGUGGAAUCCCCAUCCCCUACCCAUUUCCCCAUUUUAAUUUUUAAUUUUAUUUUUAUU